GGAUAUGAUGGUGACUUGGCUCCAGCAGCUGUCCCACUCAGGACUGAUUGAACUGCUCUAACUGGCUGGGUGGGUAUCCUCGGCUUCCCUCACAAGUCCAUAUGUGUAUGUCCUGGAGCUUGGUGCUUGGUUCAAGUGGACAGCUCUCUGCAGGGAAGAGAGAUCAUUCUGUAGCCAGAGUUAGACAAGUAUCUGCGCUCCCCUGCUGGAAACUCCAAUCUCUGGAAGCUGAUUUGUAGGAGAAUGUAGAGUAGGGAAGUUUUCAAAACUCUGAGCACGUCCAAAUGAAACACCGCAUGUAGCAACAGCAAAAAUGUAAGGCAACAUUUUUAAAAAUUUUGUUUACUUU
ensembl:misc_RNA 7SK 7SK RNA